GCGUAGGAAUCUGCCUGGUAGUGGGGGACAACAUGUGGAAACGCAUGCUAAUACCGCAUACGCCCUACGGGGGAAAGGAGGGGAUCUUCGGACCUUUCGCUAUCAGAUGAGCCUGCGUGAGAUUAGCUAGUUGGUGGGGUAAAGGCUCACCAAGGCGACGAUCUCUAGCUGGUCUGAGAGGAUGAUCUGCCACACUGGGACUGAGACACGGCCCAAACUCCUACGGGAGGCAGCAGAGGGGAAUAUUGGACAAUGGGCGCAAGCCUGAUCCAGCCAUGCCGCGUGUGUGAAGAAGGCCUUCGGGUUGUAAAGCACUUUCAGAAGUGAGGAAGGGUGUGCAGUUAAUACCUGUAUAUCUUGACGUUAGCUUCAGAAGAAGCACCGGCUAACUCUGUGCCAGCAGCCGCGGUAAUACAGAGGGUGCGAGCGUUAAUCGGAAUUACUGGGCGUAAAGCGCGCGUAGGCGGUUU
rnacentral:rRNA from 1 species